UGCAAGUCGAGGGGUAGCAGGGUAGCAAUACCGCUGACGACCGGCGCACGGGUGAGUAACACGUAUCCAACCUUCCAUAACUCGGGGAUAGCCUUUCGAAAGAAAGAUUAAUACCCGAUAGUACUUUUUUAGGGCAUCUUAGAAAAGUUAAAGAUUUAUUGGUUAUGGACGGGGAUGCGUUCCAUUAGAUAGUUGGUGAGGUAACGGCUCACCAAGUCUUCGAUGGAUAGGGGUUCUGAGAGGAAGGUCCCCCACAUUGGUACUGAGACACGGACCAAACUCCUACGGGAGGCAGCAGUGAGGAAUAUUGGUCAAUGGGCGAGAGCCUGAACCAGCCAAGUAGCGUGAAGGAUGACGG
rnacentral:rRNA from 1 species